rnacentral:tRNA from 2 species
CCCUGGUUAGCUCAGUUGGUAAAGCGCUCCACUUGUAAUGGAGAGGUCCCGGGUUCGAUACCCGGACCAGGCG